rnacentral:rRNA from 1 species
GAUGAACGCUGGCGGCGUGCCUAAUACAUGCAAGUCGAGCGAACGGAUGAGAAGCUUGCUUCUCUGAUGUUAGCGGCGGACGGGUGAGUAACACGUGGAUAACCUACCUAUAAGACUGGGAUAACUUCGGGAAACCGGAGCUAAUACCGGAUAAUAUUUUGAACCGCAUGGUUCAAAAGUGAAAGACGGUCUUGCUGUCACUUAUAGAUGGAUCCGCGCUGCAUUAGCUAGUUGGUAAGGUAACGGCUUACCAAGGCAACGAUGCAUAGCCGACCUGAGAGGGUGAUCGGCCACACUGGAACUGAGACACGGUCCAGACUCCUACGGGAGGCAGCAGUAGGGAAUCUUCCGCAAUGGGCGAAAGCCUGACGGAGCAACGCCGCGUGAGUGAUGAAGGUCUUCGGAUCGUAAAACUCUGUUAUUAGGGAAGAACAUAUGUGUAAGUAACUGUGCACAUCUUGACGGUACCUAGUCAGAAAGCCACGGCUAACUACGUG